rnacentral:misc_RNA from 1 species
ACGAGCUAGAUAAUGUGAGUGUGAGUUUGUUUUGUUCAAAUAAUGGUAUAAAGGCUGACAUUCUUUAUAGAAAAAGCUCUUUGUGUCAAAGUGAUCUUUAGACUCCUCAGACGAUAUAGUUGGUAAACGUACCUGAGUUAUCGAUCCAACCAAGUAUGCAUAGCAGGAACACAUACGUCGAAUACUGCGCUUAUGGCCAGCUAGAAAUCAGGAUUAUUCUGGUAUACUGACCAAAAUGGAGGAAAUGUACUAAUUUGAUGAUCAAUUAUUAUCGAUAAUCAUAAUGAUUGUUCACCUGCAGCUAUAUUGUACAUCAUUAUUAUAACACUUUAUCGAAUAGAGCAGGAAUGGUCCAUUACUCCAAUACUGACUGACCUUACCGUAGGAUAUCAAUAGUACCACAAUUUGAGGAUAAAUGAUUUAACAUUGGGGCUUACGAAAACGAUUGUGGAUUGUGAAAGGAUUUCAACGAUUCAUGCUUGGUUGUUGGACAACACAACGGUUGACAAUAGACCCUUUAACUCGAUUACCGUCCGAAACUAACAAAGCCCCCUAACCCUCUAUAACAUUUACAAAUGGCGUCCCAUGAGGCCGUUUCAAAUCAAGUAAGUCGGUGUGAAUUUCACCUCAUGCUGUGGAUUUAUACUUUACAAUACUACACUUGGGACAGUUGUGAAGGAUGUGGGAAAAUAAUUUCGGAAAAUUAAUAUGGUGAUGACUGAUGUAUCAGAAAUAGUCGGAUGUACGUUUACAGUUAGGCUUUAAUUUGGGGCUAUGUACAUUUCAUGGUUAUAUUGUAAAAUGUGUGAAAUAUUAAAUGUGGACCGGGAAUGAGGAGCACUCAAGAACAUUGAUUUAUACGAUGUCCCUAGAGGUUAAAAGAAUCCAAGGCCUGGAAAUCUAAAAGGGAUUUACUUCAUCAAUAUGGAACCCGAGGAAUAUGACUUUGAUACUUAUGUCCAGGACGAUUCUUUGACAGAGUUCGUACGAGCAAACAAUGAGGUCAUGAAAGUUACCGAAGAAGAGGUCGAUCGUCUGCAAAUUGGUGACGUCAUCUCAAACUCGUUCCAACCGUCAAACAAACGAUGGAAGCGCCCUCAAAUGGCUGUUAAACCAAUUAUCAAUACAGCAGAAGAUAAGGAAAAACAUGUUGAUGACACACCGCUCAAAUCAUCAAAAAGUCUUAAUGAUUUGGUUUGUGAAAACGCCAAAAGAACUAGCCAAUCCAAUAAGAAAAAAGUGCCAAAAGAAAAAAAGAGAUCACGUAAAAAACAUGUAAGUUUCGAUGAAGUGGUAUACUCGUCUGAUCCAUCUCUUGAAGGCGUCGAGCACGCACUAAUAAAAUCAUCACUAGAACUUGAAGAUUUUGACGAAAUCAAUAUAUCUCAACAGGAGCAAACAAUUUCCAGAGACAGUGUUCAGACGAUUAACGUGAAAGCUGAUAUACAUAAUUCUGAUAAUCAUACAAGUCUUCCAAAUGAGAAAAUGGAUGCUUUAGAAUCUCCCAAGGACGAUACUAUGAAAGACCAGAAAAUUACACUCUCUGAACUCGAGGAUAAUUCCAAACAUGGCGUCUGGAAGGUUCCGAGUGUACCAAAACAAAGUGGCUUGAGUCACAGCAAUGUUCCUUCCCAAUCUUUGCCAAAACAAGAUAUUUCUAAAGAUAUUAAACAAAGCAGCAGUCCUUUAGGUCAGGAAUUUGGGAGAUUAUCUGGAUAUGAGAAAAAAACAACUUUUAGGAAUCCUUUUCAGAGUAGAACAGUUGGUCUUACGACCACCAAAGUCAGAUCAAGUAAAAAGUCAUCCAGAUCAAACGCUAAUGUUUUACAAAAGCAGUCAGCUUUACAGACUGAAAUGUUGUCUCUCGCAAGGCUGAAUGAAUCGGUCUCUCCACGCUCCAGAGACAGUUCAGCGUACUCAACAAGUAGCGAUGACGUAUUCACAGAUUCCCGUGACCAGGAGUCCACGUCAUCACAAAGUGGGGUGGAUGAUGUCGAAGGUCAUGUAAUACUUCAGGUUGUCUCAUCUGGAAAUGUCGAAGCUUUGCAUAGACUCACCAAUACUAUGGACGCUGAAAACCUUGGAUCUUUCUUAGAUCGUCAUGGCAACAAUGUCCUUCAUUUAUGCUGCUCAAGCGGCCAUCUUGAAUCUUUAGAGUAUCUCCACCAAUAUUUAUCACCAACAUCAACAGAAAUGUUGGCAGAACAAAACAGGAAGAAACUCACCCCAUUCGGAUGUGCAGUAAAGAGAGGCCAUGUGGAUUGCCUUGUGUGGUUGUUGGAGCAAGAUGGCAAUGAAGAAAUAUUAGGCAACGACACACAGAGACUUCUUCAUAUAGCUGCUAAACAUAAUCAGUUUGACUGCCUCCAUAUUCUUGCAACCAUCUUUCAAGAAGAUCAAAGUGUUAUAAAUAGCAUGGAUGUAAACCGUCUCACUCCACUACACAUUGCCGCAAAGUAUGGCCGACUAGAAUGCAUGCAGGUACUUAUUGAUUUUGGUGCUGAUGUGUUUUCUAAAAAUGCUGAUGGCCUCACCGCGAGUGAGCUUGCUUUAAUAAACGGACACUCACAAUGUAGCAAGUACUUACAAAGUGUGGAAACAUGUGUUGAGUUCAUGGGGGAAAACAUCAAACUUAAACUAGAAAAUGACCGUCUGCUUGAAGAACAAAGGGAGUUUGAGCGUUUUAUGAAACAGACAAUGGAAGCUGUCGCUAAGGUGUCGACUGUCAUGAAAACAGCUGACAAUAACGUAUCCACGGUAGCUCAACUAAAACAGGAAUUCGAGCACGUGACCAACAGACUCGCACGGCAAGUGGAUGUACUUUACCGAGAAAAUACAGCAUUAAAGCAAAAUACAAAUGGAGGGGUGAAAAGCAAUGCCCUCGAGAAACAAAUACAGGAUACGAUGUGUGAUAAUGUGAAACUUGGUGAGGAUCUAGAUAAGUUUAAAACAAAUCAACCUAUCGAGCCCCCAGGGUUGGCAUAUAUCGAGGCACUACAGAACAGUUAUAGUCACUUCAAUACAAAACUCAACACGAGUAGGAAUAGGACACAGAGGGUUAAAUGCGAUCCAAGCCAUAUCCGAAAUGAGGUACGGUUGCAUCUCCUUCAAUUACAGCUUGCCACUGUUAAAGCCACAGAAACGGCAACUGCCAAUGACAAUAAUCACCAUGGCGACCGAAACAAACCAACAGACAAUAAUUGGAAUGCACAUAAGAAUCCAGUCUGUCCCGAUGACUCGCGAUCGACCAUAGCGCAACAUAAAACGAAUACAAAAGGAACUCCAUUAAGUAUUAUAAAGGAAAACCAUCUGAAUGAUGCCAAAACGCAAAGAAGCCGUAGCGAAGGUGAUUAUCCAACAACUGCAAAGACUACUGAACACGAGGUUCAAAACUCAAGAACAGUCAUUCCCCAUCAACACGUUCAGUCUAUCCUAAAACCAAGCGAUCGAAUCCAGUCGACAAGUGACCAUGCUUUAUUCGGGAAUGGAAUUAGCAAUAGGCCUAACGUGUAUCCAAAUCACGUUCAUCAAAAAAAUACCAACAGGAGUAAUAUAAUUCCAGCAGAGAACACACUGGGCCAAAGCAAUAUUACAAAUGUUAUUAAACGUUUUGAAACACUCCAGACAAGCAAUGUUGGGCGUCAGUUAUCGACCACACAUGAUUCUCAAACUAAUUAUUCGCCUAGUUCUAAAGUAAGAUUUCAACUAACAGAUCCACCUCUAAAUCAACCGAAACAUAAGGCAUUACAUAAUUCUGAUGAUGAUGGAUCUACGUCAUUAUAGCUUUUUAUAUUUUUCAAACGUUAAUAUAUUAUUCAAUAAAGAAGUGUUCCAAUAAA